UGAACGCUGGCGGUAGGCCUAACACAUGCAAGUCGAACGGCAGCACAGUAAGAGCUUGCUCUUACGGGUGGCGAGUGGCGGACGGGUGAGGAAUACAUCGGAACCUACUUUUUCGUGGGGGAUAACGUAGGGAAACUUACGCUAAUACCGCAUACGACCUACGGGUGAAAGCAGGGGAUCUUCGGACCUUGCGCGAUUGAAUGAGCCGAUGUCGGAUUAGCUAGUUGGCGGGGUAAAGGCCCACCAAGGCGACGAUCCGUAGCUGGUCUGAGAGGAUGAUCAGCCACACUGGAACUGAGACACGGUCCAGACUCCUACGGGAGGCAGCAGUGGGGAAUAUUGGACAAUGGGCGCAAGCCUGAUCCAGCCAUACCGCGUGGGUGAAGAAGGCCUUCGGGUUGUAAAGCCCUUUUGUUGGGAAAGAAAAGCAGCAGGUUAAUACCCCGCUGUUCUGACGGUACCCAAAGAAUAAGCACCGGCUAACUUCGUG
rnacentral:rRNA from 1 species